CAGGGUAUAAUAUAAUGUUGUUUUCGUUUACGUUGAAAAAUUUUUUGGGCAAUUCAAAAUGCCCUGA
rnacentral:tRNA from 1 species